GAAGCCCACCAGACUGUCGCUGGUGCAAGCCCCAGGGUGGAUGCCCCGGCAUCCGUUCCCGCAAGGCCGACGCCUCUGGCGUCGGGUGGAAACACCGCACUGGAGGAACGUCCGGACUGCACAGGGCAGCGUAGCAGCUAACGGCUGUCCACUGAAAACCGGGCAGGCAAUUGGACGAUUGCGCCAGGCACGCAAGUGCACGGCAAGACGGACAGGCGCCGGUCCGGCAUAAGGUGAGGAUCAGAGCAACAGAGACGAGUCGCCGCAAAGGGCAACCUUUGCGGCGGGUGAAACGGGCAAUCUCUACGUGCAGCAAUACCAAAUAGGCACAUGUUGGGACGCGCAGUUCGCUGCGCCCCCUACCCGGGGCCCCCGGGGUGUGUGCGGGUAGGUAGCACCGAGCCGUCGGGUGACCGGCGGCCCAGAUGAAUGGCAGUCACAUGGCGGGCAACCGCCAUGCACAGAAUCCGGCUUAUCGGUGGGCUUCA
rnacentral:RNase_P_RNA from 1 species